rnacentral:rRNA from 1 species
UUAAGCGACUAAGCGUACACGGUGGAUGCCCUGGCAGUCAGAGGCGAUGAAGGACGUGCUAAUCUGCGAUAAGCGUCGGUAAGGUGAUAUGAACCGUUAUAACCGGCGAUUUCCGAAUGGGGAAACCCAGUGUGAUUCGUCACACUAUCAUUAACUGAAUCCAUAGGUUAAUGAGGCGAACCGGGGGAACUGAAACAUCUAAGUACCCCGAGGAAAAGAAAUCAACCGAGAUUCCCCCAGUAGCGGCGAGCGAACGGGGAGGAGCCCAGAGCCUGAAUCAGUGUGUGUGUUAGUGGAAGCGUCUGGAAAGGCGCGCGAUACAGGGUGACAGCCCCGUACACAAAAAUGCACAUACUGUGAGCUCGAUGAGUAGGGCGGGACACGUGGUAUCCUGUCUGAAUAUGGGGGGGACCAUCCUCCAAGGCUAAAUACUCCUGACUGACCGAUAGUGAACCAGUACCGUGAGGGAAAGGCGAAAAGAACCCCGGCGAGGGGAGUGAAAAAGAACCUGAAACCGUGUACGUACAAGCAGUGGGAGCCUCUUUAUGGGGUGACUGCGUACCUUUUGUAUAAUGGGUCAGCGACUUAUAUUCUGUAGCAAGGUUAACCGAAUAGGGGAGCCGAAGGGAAACCGAGUCUUAACUGGGCGUUAAGUUGCAGGGUAUAGACCCGAAACCCGGUGAUCUAGCCAUGGGCAGGUUGAAGGUUGGGUAACACUAACUGGAGGACCGAACCGACUAAUGUUGAAAAAUUAGCGGAUGACUUGUGGCUGGGGGUGAAAGGCCAAUCAAACCGGGAGAUAGCUGGUUCUCCCCGAAAGCUAUUUAGGUAGCGCCUCGUGAAUUCAUCUCCGGGGGUAGAGCACUGUUUCGGCAAGGGGGUCAUCCCGACUUACCAACCCGAUGCAAACUGCGAAUACCGGAGAAUGUUAUCACGGGAGACACACGGCGGGUGCUAACGUCCGUCGUGAAGAGGGAAACAACCCAGACCGCCAGCUAAGGUCCCAAAGUCAUGGUUAAGUGGGAAACGAUGUGGGAAGGCCCAGACAGCCAGGAUGUUGGCUUAGAAGCAGCCAUCAUUUAAAGAAAGCGUAAUAGCUCACUGGUCGAGUCGGCCUGCGCGGAAGAUGUAACGGGGCUAAACCAUGCACCGAAGCUGCGGCAGCGACACUAAGUGUUGUUGGGUAGGGGAGCGUUCUGUAAGCCUGUGAAGAUGUGCUGUGAGGCAUGCUGGAGGUAUCAGAAGUGCGAAUGCUGACAUAAGUAACGAUAAAGCGGGUGAAAAGCCCGCUCGCCGGAAGACCAAGGGUUCCUGUCCAACGUUAAUCGGGGCAGGGUGAGUCGACCCCUAAGGCGAGGCCGAAAGGCGUAGUCGAUGGGAAACAGGUUAAUAUUCCUGUACUUGGUGUUACUGCGAAGGGGGGACGGAGAAGGCUAUGUUGGCCGGGCGACGGUUGUCCCGGUUUAAGCGUGUAGGCUGGUUUUCCAGGCAAAUCCGGAAAAUCAAGGCUGAGGCGUGAUGACGAGGCACUACGGUGCUGAAGCGACAAAUGCCCUGCUUCCAGGAAAAGCCUCUAAGCAUCAGGUAACAACAAAUCGUACCCCAAACCGACACAGGUGGUCAGGUAGAGAAUACCAAGGCGCUUGAGAGAACUCGGGUGAAGGAACUAGGCAAAAUGGUGCCGUAACUUCGGGAGAAGGCACGCUGAUAUGUAGGUGAAGCGACUUGCUCGUGGAGCUGAAAUCAGUCGAAGAUACCAGCUGGCUGCAACUGUUUAUUAAAAACACAGCACUGUGCAAACACGAAAGUGGACGUAUACGGUGUGACGCCUGCCCGGUGCCGGAAGGUUAAUUGAUGGGGUUAGCGGUAACGCGAAGCUCUUGAUCGAAGCCCCGGUAAACGGCGGCCGUAACUAUAACGGUCCUAAGGUAGCGAAAUUCCUUGUCGGGUAAGUUCCGACCUGCACGAAUGGCGUAAUGAUGGCCAGGCUGUCUCCACCCGAGACUCAGUGAAAUUGAACUCGCUGUGAAGAUGCAGUGUACCCGCGGCAAGACGGAAAGACCCCGUGAACCUUUACUAUAGCUUGACACUGAACAUUGAGCCUUGAUGUGUAGGAUAGGUGGGAGGCUUUGAAGUGUGGACGCCAGUCUGCAUGGAGCCGACCUUGAAAUACCACCCUUUAAUGUUUGAUGUUCUAACGUUGGCCCGUAAUCCGGGUUGCGGACAGUGUCUGGUGGGUAGUUUGACUGGGGCGGUCUCCUCCUAAAGAGUAACGGAGGAGCACGAAGGUUGGCUAAUCCUGGUCGGACAUCAGGAGGUUAGUGCAAUGGCAUAAGCCAGCUUGACUGCGAGCGUGACGGCGCGAGCAGGUGCGAAAGCAGGUCAUAGUGAUCCGGUGGUUCUGAAUGGAAGGGCCAUCGCUCAACGGAUAAAAGGUACUCCGGGGAUAACAGGCUGAUACCGCCCAAGAGUUCAUAUCGACGGCGGUGUUUGGCACCUCGAUGUCGGCUCAUCACAUCCUGGGGCUGAAGUAGGUCCCAAGGGUAUGGCUGUUCGCCAUUUAAAGUGGUACGCGAGCUGGGUUUAGAACGUCGUGAGACAGUUCGGUCCCUAUCUGCCGUGGGCGCUGGAGAACUGAGGGGGGCUGCUCCUAGUACGAGAGGACCGGAGUGGACGCAUCACUGGUGUUCGGGUUGUCAUGCCAAUGGCACUGCCCGGUAGCUAAAUGCGGAAGAGAUAAGUGCUGAAAGCAUCUAAGCACGAAACUUGCCCCGAGAUGAGUUCUCCCUGACCCUUUAAGGGUCCUGAAGGAACGUUGAAGACGACGACGUUGAUAGGCCGGGUGUGUAAGCGCAGCGAUGCGUUGAGCUAACCGGUACUAAUGAACCGUGAGGCUUAACCUU